GCCGCGGUGGUCUAGUGGUAUGAUUCCGGGAGAGCGACUUCGAGGUCCCUAAAAACGCGGUUGUCAGGCACCACAAUAGCUGCGGAUGCUAGCCACAGCGAGGGGAUCUAGCGAGUGCUACAGGCCCUGCAUGCAAGGUGACACCUCUACCGGAGACUCCAGUUCGAUUCUGGCCCGCGGCA